UACGUAGGGUGCAAGCGUUAAUCGGAAUUACUGGGCGUAAAGCGUGCGCAGGCGGUUAUUUAAGACAGGCGUGAAAGCCCCGGGCUCAACCUGGGAGGUGCGCUUGUGACUGGAUAGCUAGAGUGUGGCAGAGGGGGGUGGAAUUCCACGUGUAGCAGUGAAAUGCGUAGAGAUGUGGAGGAACACCGAUGGCGAAGGCAGCCCCCUGGGCUAGCACUGACGCUCAGGCACGAAAGCGUGGGGAGCAAACAGG
rnacentral:rRNA from 1 species